GAUGAACGCUGGCGGCGUGCCUAAUACAUGCAAGUCGAGCGAACGGACGAGAAGCUUGCUUCUCUGAUGUUAGCGGCGGACGGGUGAGUAACACGUGGAUAACCUACCUAUAAGACUGGGAUAACUUCGGGAAACCGGAGCUAAUACCGGAUGAUAUUUUGAACCGCAUGGUUCAAAAGUGAAAGACGGUCUUGCUGUCACUUAUAGAUGGAUCCGCGCUGCAUUAGCUAGUUGGUAAGGUAACGGCUUACCAAGGCAACGAUGCAUAGCCGACCUGAGAGGGGGAUCGGCCACACUGGAACUGAGACACGGUCCAGACGCCUACGGGAGGCAGCAGUAGGGAAUCUUCCGCAAUGGGCGAAAGCCUGACGGAGCAACGCCGCGUGAGUGAUGAAGGUCUUCGGAUCGUAAAACUCUGUUAUUAGGGAAGAACAUAUGUGUAAGUAACUGUGCACAUCUUGACGGUACCUAAUCAGAAAGCCACGGCUAACUACGUG
rnacentral:rRNA from 1 species